ACUGCUCAGUAACACGUGGAUAACCUACCCUUGGGACGGGGAUAAACCCGGGAAACUGGGUAUAAUACCCGAUAGUCCUCGAAUGCUGGAAUGCGUCGAGGGCGAAAGCUCCGGCGCCCAAGGAUGGGUCUGCGGCCUAUCAGGUAGUAGUGGGUGUAAUGGACCUACUAGCCUACAACGGGUACGGGUUGUGAGAGCAAGAGCCCGGAGAUGGAUUCUGAGACACGAAUCCAGGCCCUACGGGGUGCAGCAGGCGCGAAACCUUUACAAUGCUGGCAACAGCGAUAGGGGGACCUCGAGUGCCAGGUUACAAAUCUGGCUGUCGUUGUGUCUAAAAAGCACGGCAUAGCAAGGGCCGGGCAAGACCGGUGCCAGCCGCCGCGGUAACACCGGCGGCUCGAGUGGUAACCGCUAUUAUUGGGUCUAAAGGGUCUGUAGCCGGCUGAAAAAGUCUCUUGGGAAAUCCGAUAGCUUAACUAUCGGGCUUUCAGGAGAUACUCUUCGGCUCGAGACCGGGAGAGGUGAGAGGUACUUCAUGGGUAGGGGUGAAAUCUUGUAAUCCUUGAAGGACCACCAGUGGCGAAGGCGUCUCACCAGAACGGAUCUGACGGCAAGGGACGAAAGCUAGGGGCACGAACCGGAUUAGAUACCCGGGUAGUCCUAGCCGUAAACGAUACUCGCUAGGUGUCGGCCACGGUGCGACCGUGGUCGGUGCCGUAGGGAAGCCGUGAAGCGAGCCACCUGGGAAGUACGGCCGCAAGGCUGAACUUAAAGGAAUUGGCGGGGGAGCA
rnacentral:rRNA from 1 species